AUCCUUUUGGGGUUGAUAAGCAUGAUGACUGGGUGUUCACGCCGCUGUGUGACAUGUACCACCUUAAACCUUGUUAUGACCGGCACAUUACCCGUCUGACG